rnacentral:rRNA from 1 species
CGGCGGACGGGUGAGUAACGCGUGGGUAACCUACCUCAUACAGGGGGAUAACAGUUGGAAACGGCUGCUAAUACCGCAUAAGCACACAGUACCGCAUGGUACCGUGUGAAAAACUCCGGUGGUAUGAGAUGGACCCGCGUCUGAUUAGCUAGUUGGUGGGGUAACGGCCUACCAAGGCGACGAUCAGUAGCCGACCUGAGAGGGUGACCGGCCACAUUGGGACUGAGACACGGCCCAA